GUUCCUAUGGUUAAAGUUUUAUAACGAUGGUUUUUCAGGCCAUAGAUCUCGGAGAGAGGCCGAGUGGGAAUU
rnacentral:tRNA from 1 species